UACAGAGGUCCCAAGCGUUGUUCGGAUUCAUUGGGCGUAAAGGGUGCGUAGGCGGCGCGGUAAGUCGGGUGUGAAAUCUCGGGGCUUAACUCCGAAACUGCAUUCGAUACUGCCGUGCUUGAGGACUGGAGAGGAGACUGGAAUUUACGGUGUAGCGGUGAAAUGCGUAGAUAUCGUAAGGAAGACCAGUGGCGAAGGCGGGUCUCUGGACAGUUCCUGACGCUGAGGCACGAAAGCGUGGGUAGCAAACAGG
rnacentral:rRNA from 1 species